GGUCCUACUCGCCUGCAGGUGCUCUCUGGCCGUCUCUCUGUGCACCGAGGCAGUGAAUUCUUUCGCUCUCGUACGCACACGUACACACACACACACACACACACACACGAGUAUGAGCUACGCCACUUUGGCGUUGUGCGCAUGCGUCCUCUAUGCCCCUCACGCCGUCUUGUGCGGGAUGGCGCUCCUCUGGCAGCCCAUGCUGAUGGUAAUGAGCAUCCUCGCCUCCUUUAUUGCCUUUCUGCCACUUGUGAUGACGGGACUGAUAUUUCAGGUGCUGCGCUGGGCAGGAGUCGCGGACGUGACCACGGCCGCGUGGGUGGUGGUAAUUCACUUGAUAGGACAGAAUGCCUCGCGAGUUGGAACGCUGCACGUGUGCCUGCGUCUGCAGCGACUUGGGUGGCAACACGGCUGGCUUUUAGUGCGUAGCCGGUUUCCUUUAGUCCCCAUGAGCAUCGCCGUCGGCGCCGGCUUCGCUGCAGCGUCGCUUCUCGUGGGUGGCGGCGCCCUUCUUGCGGAGGCGUUGGAGGUUGGAAGGGAUUUGACUGGCAGUCGGAGAGCCUCAUCCAUCUCGACUGUCACUGCGCAAAAGAUUGACUUUCUCGCUUCCAGCGGCAACUGCGCGCGGCUUUCUCGGCUUCUGCAGUCGUGCUUUCAACAGACAUUCUUCAGCUGCGGGCAGGUGGCGUGGACGGUGAUGAUGGGGCAGGCGUACGCUGCCCUGUGGCCUCAGGAUGUGGCGGAGGACUUGUGGAAACACACAGCGCGUGCAAACGGUGCCGACGAAACCGCGACUCUUGGCGCUGUGACAACAGCAUGGGCCGAGGAGGCUGGCAGUGCACCUAUGCCGCAUGCACUGAGGGCAGAGGAGUCCGUACGGGAGGGCACCUCUGAGCUCCUGCUGGCGGAUGAGGAACUUGUGCCGGUUGCCGGAGACGACGGGCCGGGAACUGCGGUCCACAGCGUGAGACGUGAGCACGCAUCUGCCGCUGCGCCGCCAGUGCCGCGCGAGGAGGCGGAGGCAAGCCAGCGCGUGGCCUGCAGUGCUGUGUACUUUGAAAGAAGCGGUGCUGGCGCAGUGGCUGGCAUAGCCCCGUCAGCGGGGCCAUCCAUAAGUGAAGCGAGGAAAUGUUCCACCUCAGCGAUGCGUCAGGACAUGUCAUCGUCGCCAUCGUCGUCCGCCGAGGUGGCUGGGCGGCUUGUGGCCGACUCCGUAUUCGCGCAGCGGCUGCCUGCUGCUGUCCUCACCGGCGCGGCAGCAUUGGUCCUUCAUAUGAUGUUUGUACUGCUGCCUGUGGCGGCGAUGGCAGCUGAUUCGGCGUCUGCACAGAGCACGGCAACUCUCUCAUCAGCCAGGCGCUCGGAAGGGUGCCUCGUUAACGUAUCUCUGCAGUGCGUCGUGACGCUGGUGUCGGUGUUGUGGGGACUUUGCAUUGUGGAGUUGGAACGCCACCCUUUCACCUACGCGCUUCUCUGAUCAUCGCCAGGCUCGUGAGUGUGCCGACGCGGGUUACGGUUAUCAGGGUUGGCAAUGGGCGCAUACCUGUCUCUUUUUACAUGUGGCGUUGCCGAGUGGGUUUGGAUUCGUAUGGGUGCUGCUGUCUGUUCUGGCCUCCCCACCGCCCCAUCCGUUCCGACGCCUCCGCAUUAUCACGCUUGUCUUUCGCUUUAAUGCUUCGAUACUGUUGGGUGUGCGCCUGCUGAAGGUCUUCCUCCGCGCCGUUGUGUACAGAUCAUGUUCCCUUACGGCCCUGUGUUGUGCAUAGGUUGC
rnacentral:misc_RNA from 1 species